GAUGAACGCUAGCGGGAGGCUUAACACAUGCAAGUCGAGGGGCAGCAUAGGGUAGCAAUACUCUGAUGGCGACCGGCAAACGGGUGAGUAACGGUAUGCAACCUACCCUGUACAGGGGGAUAACCCGGAGAAAUUCGGACUAAUAUCCCGUAAUAAUAUCCGGAGGCAUCUUUGGAUAUUUAAAGUUCCGACGGUACGGGAUGGGCAUGCGUAACAUUAACUGGUUGGUAAGGUAACGGCUUACCAAGGCUAUGAUGUUUAGGGGUCCUGAGAGGGUGGUCCCCCACACUGGUACUGAGACACGGACCAGACUCCUACGGGAGGCAGCAGUGAGGAAUAUUGGUCAAUGGGCGCAAGCCUGAACCAGCCAUCCCGCGUGCAGGAAGACGGCCCUAUGGGUUGUAAACUGCUUUUCCAGGGAGAGAAACUUACGCACGUGUUGCGUGACUGACGGUACCCUGGGAAUAAGCAUCGGCUAACUCCGUG
rnacentral:rRNA from 1 species